rnacentral:rRNA from 1 species
AGAAUGAACGCUGGCGGCAUGCCUAACACAUGCAAGUCGAACGAAGCCUUCGGGCUUAGUGGCGCACGGGUGCGUAACGCGUGGGAAUCUGCCCUUGGGUUCGGAAUAACAGCGAGAAAUUGCUGCUAAUACCGGAUGAUGACGUAAGUCCAAAGAUUUAUCGCCCAAGGAUGAGCCCGCGUAGGAUUAGCUAGUUGGUGAGGUAAAGGCUCACCAAGGCGACGAUCCUUAGCUGGUCUGAGAGGAUGAUCAGCCACACUGGGACUGAGACACGGCCCCAGACUCCUACGGGAGGCAGCAGUGGGGAAUAUUGGACAAUGGGCGAAAGCCUGAUCCAGCAAUGCCGCGUGAGUGAUGAAGGCCUUAGGGUUGUAAAGCUCUUUACCCGGAUGAUAAUGACAGUACCGGAGAAUAAGCUCCGGCUAACUCCGCGCCAGCAGCCGC